GGCGCGGUGGCUGAGCGGUAAAGCGCUUGGAUUCCGAAUUUAUUGUCCCGGGUUCGAAUCCUGGUGGAGACU
rnacentral:tRNA from 1 species